rnacentral:rRNA from 1 species
AGCGAACGCUGGCGGCAGGCCUAACACAUGCAAGUCGAGCGGCCGUAGCAAUACGGCAGCGGCAGACGGGAGAGUAACACGUGGGAACGCGCCCUUCGGUUCGGGAUAACUCAGGGAAACUUGGGCUAAUACCGAAUACGCCCUUACGGGGAAAGAUUUAUUGCCGAAGGAACGGCCCGCGUCCGAUUAGCUAGUUGGUGAGGUAACGACUCACCAAGGCGACGAUCGGUAGCUGGUCUGAGAGGAUGACCAGCCUCACUGGGACUGAGACACGGCCCAGACUCCUACGGGAGGCAGCAGUGGGGAAUAUUGGACAAUGGGCGCAAGCCUGAUCCAGCCAUGCCGCGUGGGUGAUGAAGGCCCUAGGGUUGUAAAGCCCUUUCAGCGGGGAAGAUAAUGACGGUACCCGCAGAAGAAGCCCCGGCUAACUUCGUGC